rnacentral:rRNA from 1 species
UUUUUUGUGGUGCAUUUACUUGAUUGGUGCUUGGGGAUGUUUGAGGCAGAUUUGUUUCCGUCGUUUUGAGGCCAGCUUGCUGGUACCCAAACGGUGUUAGCAUUUUUUGUCUUGGGCAUUUGAGUAUGGCUCACGGGYAUUUAUUGGACAGAUCUGAGUGUAAGUUACGGUCGCAUGCGACACGUGCUUUUCAAUUAGUUCGGUCCAGUUAAUGCUCUCGUACUCGUUCCCCAUGUAAAAGCCGGUCAUCUAUCCGACCCGUCUUGAAACACGGACCAAGGAGUUUAUCGUGUGCGCAAGUUUUUGGGUGUUAAAAACUUAAAAGCGAAAUGAAAGUAAAUGACUCUUUAGAGUCUGAUGUGCGAUCUUGUAAAAAAGKGUAGCAUGGCCCCAUUCUAACUGUUUACAGUAGGGUGGCGGAAGAGCGUACGCGGUGAGACCCGAAAGAUGGUGAACUAUUCCUGAGCAGGACGAAGCCAGAGGAAACUCUGGUGGAAGUCCGAAGCGGUUCUGACGUGCAAAUC